GACGAACCGUGCGAACGUUUUUCGGAAUCACUGGGCUUAAAGGGUGCGUAGGCGGUCUAUCCAGUCGGGGGUGAAAUCUUGCAGCUUAACUGUAAAAGUGCCUUCGAUACUGAUAGACUCGAGCGAGACAGGGGCAGGUGGAACUUCCAGUGGAGCGGUUAAAUGUGUUGAUAUUGGAAGGAACGCCGGUGGCGAAAGCGACCUGCUGGAUCUCUUCUGACGCUGAGGCACGAAAGCUCGGGGAGCAAACGGG
rnacentral:rRNA from 1 species